GACGUAGGUGGCGAACGUUAUCCGGAAUUAUUGGGCGUAAAGGGGUGCGUAGAUGGUCGAAUAAGUUAUCAGUGGUAAAUCGGAGGCCUAACCUCGUGGAAACUGGUAAUACUGUUCGACUGGAGGGCAGGAGAGGUUAACGGAACUAUUUGUGUAGGGGUAAAAUCGACGAUAUAAACGUGAACACCAAUAACGGCGAAGGCAGUUAACUAUUCUGUUCCUGACAUUGAGGCACGAAAAGCGUGGGGAGCAAAACAGGAUUAGAAACCCGG
rnacentral:rRNA from 1 species